rnacentral:rRNA from 1 species
CUGCUGGACAAAGAUUGCCCUUGUGGGCUCAUUCGCACACGAUGAACAACCAGCUCACAACUGAACCGGGCAAGGGGAAUCCGACUGUUUAAUUGAAACAAAGCAUUGCGAUGGUCUUAAGGGGUGAUGACACAAUGUGAUUUCUGCCCAGUGCUCUGAAUGUGAAAGUGAGGAGAUUCAAUUAAGCGCGGGUAAACGGCAGGAGUAACUAUGACUCUCUUAAGGUAGCCAAAUGCCUCGUCAUCCAAUUAGUGACGCUCAUGAAUGGAUUAAUGAGAUUCCCACUGUCCCCAUCUACUGUCCAGCGAAACCACAGCCAAGGGAACGGGCUUGGGUGAGCCAGCGAGGAAAGAAGACCCUGUUGAGCUUGACUCUAAUCUGACUUUGUGAAAUGACUUAUGAGGUGUAUAAUAUGUGGGAGCCCAUGUGAUCUUGAAAUACCACUACUCCUGAUGUCACUUUACUUACUCUGUUCCACUGUGACCUGUCCUUGAUCAGGUUUUUGCUUGAACGCUUGUCCCCUGGAAAUGUUGAGCUGCAUGGAAGAUGCAGUCAGGUGGGGAGUUUGGCUGGGGCGGCACAUCUGUUAAAGGAUAACGC